CGAACGCUGGCGGCGUGCUUAACACAUGCAAGUCGAACGCGAAAGAGUUCUUCGGAACUCGAGUAGAGUGGCGCACGGGUGAGUAACGCGUAAGUAAUCUACCCUGGUAUCUGGGAUAACCCACCGAAAGGUGUGCUAAUACCGGAUACGCUGAUUUAUCAGGAAAGGUGGCCUCUUCAUGAAAGCUACUGUACCAGGAGGAGCUUGCGUACCAUUAGCUAGUUGGUAGGGUAAUGGCCUACCAAGGCAACGAUGGUUAGCGGGUCUGAGAGGAUGAUCCGCCACACUGGAACUGGAACACGGACCAGACUCCUACGGGAGGCAGCAGUGAGGAAUAUUGCGCAAUGGGGGAAACCCUGACGCAGCGACGCCGCGUGGAUGAUGAAGGCCUUCGGGUCGUAAAAUCCUGUCAGAUGGAAAGAAAUGCAUAUGUAUUAAUACUACGUAUGUUUGACGGUACCAUCAAAGGAAGCACCGGCUAACUCC
rnacentral:rRNA from 1 species